UUAAACCCUCCAAUUUUCUUGUCGUCCAAGCACGUUCGCUCCCCUCAAAAACCCCCACCGUCGCUUCCGAUUCCGAUACCGCCCCGUUCCCUAGAAAGCUCGCAGCUUUGUCCUUCGAUCGGAGCCGGCGAAAUGCUGCUGUCGAGGAUCCUGUCCCGCGCUUCCCGGAGCGCGAGCCGGGCCGCCUCCCUCCUGUCAUCUCCUCCGGCCCAGGCGCAUCCCCCGCCGCUCGUCUCCGAACGGCGCCGCGCGCUUGCGUGCGGUUCUCCGAGCAAGGUACUCGACAAGAACCCGUCCGCGUCUGCGGUCUUCAACGGUCUUCGAAUAUUCGGUUCUUCGUGUGGCGUCCUUCAAUUUCAUUCUAUCGUGAGUUUGUUGCGCCUUAGGAUUUCAGUCUCCCUCGUGGAUUGAUUGAUUGAUUGAUUGAUUGGAAUUGAUUUGGAGUUGCGGUUUAUGAAGUGGCUAGAGCGCAAACUUGUUGGUUAUUGCCUUAUUGGGUUUGCGCAUUAUGAUAUGGGACUCCGUUGGCUCGCGAGGUUAAACGAAUGAACG
rnacentral:lncRNA from 1 species